AGAAAAUCACGCUAAAAAUGAGGAUUUCAUGUAUAGUUAAUUAAGAUGACAUUGCUAUUGGUAAUUUAAUUUAAGAUGACAGCAGUUUGAUAAAAUUUGAAUCCAUCUGUUUUUAUUCAGGGUUCCUCUUCUCGCAUGGAGAGCGCCAUUCUCGUACCCAGAGCCCUUCUUACGCGCGGUCAACGCAGCGCGACGAGUGGCUCUGGCCAAAUCCAUAACCGGAUACCAUAAAAACAUGGUAAGAAAACAAUAUCCGGUAUUAGAACUAGCCAAUCAGAUGCCAGUUCGGAUAUCGAUUUGGCCAGAGCCCCUCGUCGCACCGUGCGUGAGGACUCUGGGUACGAGAAAGGCUUUGAGAGCGCAGGAUGAAAGCCUGGGUUCAAGGAUGUAAAAUGUCUCGAUGUUUGGGAGUCCGGUCAGCCUUAACAAAUGUCAAAAAAGCAGGCUGUAGCGAUUCACAUGCAGAUUCCAGUAGAUGCCAUUAUGGCUUUGGCAGGUUUGGUCAAUUUUGGACUUGCGUAUGGUAGCUAUUCCCACAGAGCUAUUGCGUCACAUCACGGUCACAUGUAACCUCAAAGUUGCCAAAAAUAACGGAAUAAAAUCUCUAGGUCUAAGCUGCUGAAAAUAUUGACAAUUGUAGAAACAAGGAAACUGUAACAGUCCUAUACCUCUCUUAUUUAUUCUCAACUUAAUAUUAACAUACCUUUGUAAAUAGACGACUAUACCACAGGAGCAAACAAUUAUACGCCAAUAAAAUCAGCUUUAAGAGUGAGUAUUCGUA